ensembl:lncRNA
CUCAAUACGUUUGCUUCAUGAGCUACAGCGCAUGUGUCGAAACCUCGGGUAUCAGAGGACCAUCACUAAUCACAGGAUUCCUACCGGACGCCAGCUCCUAGUACGGCUGAAUCAAAUGGUCACCGUGGCGCUUCGGCUGAUUCUACCAGCAGACACUGGAAAGGGCUCUGAUAGUUCAGUCCCUCUCUAUCUCCCCACACAUCCACCAACCACUGGAACACAUCUCCAAAGUUCUGCCGGGCCAGUUCAGCUUCCCCUCAGAAGAAGUGCUGCCACCUGCCAGAUGAAGGAGCCUUUUGAGAGGCAGCUGGAAUCGUGAUUGGACUGUACUUUGGUCUGUUCCAAUCCAGCUUCAGCUCCAGAGACGGCAGGCGGGACGAGUCAACGGAGGCCGGGUGGACGAAGGCAUGCAGCUGAGUACAAUCCAGAAAACAACAGAGGAGGAGUGCAGGGCCAGAACAAACAGAGUAGCAUCGUAUGUCUCUUAGAAAACAUCAUAGUAUAGCCUUUGGGAUGAAAAAACGCCAUCAUAUACAUUGUAUAUUGUACAAAUAACAAGUCAAAGGAAAGAGACAUACAUUGUAGAAUUGUAGUAAUUGUGGGCUGACUGAUUUACUGAUUAUCAAUAUUUUAUUUUUUACUGAUUUACGGUAAUAAAUCAAUUUAAAAAUGGUGCUACUUUGGCUCUGAACCUUAAUCUACCUGUGGUCGCUCUGUCUUCUGGAGUGAUUUGAUUGGUUAUACGUCACGAAUAAAACUCCUUUAACUUAACAUCUGUAAACAAAACAAAAACGUAUCAACAAAGUUUUCUGUUAGAGUUUGUGUUCUUCGAAGUUUAACUCCAAAAUUUUAAAUACUUUCAUUUACUGCA